AUAGUUGAGUUUGGAAACAGUUUGACAUUAAAUUUACCUGAAUCUUUAUGUAAACAACAAGAAUAUGUCCUUGACAAUUGCCCCAAGAAGUUUUUGCCGAAAACAGGUGCGCAGUGCAGGGGUUAAGCAUCAAUAUGUUUAGGUAUAUUUAUUUAACAUGGAGUACAGUAUUUAUAUGACAAUUUACAACUAUUGGUUGGUGAGGUUUGCUAAUUUAGAACCAAAAUUUAAGAUUUCUGAUCAUAGCUUUCUUGUUUUGAAUCUAGCAAGCCUUGCUUCUGUACAGUCAUGAUUCACUUCUGCAUUUACUGAAUUUUUAGGAGUUAUUUAAUUUGCUGCAAAUACAGUAUAAUAAAUUACUUGCUGCUAUUUCUCCGUAGCAGCAUAUAGAAUGCCAUUGUUGAAUACCACACGUAACUUUCUUGCAAGUUGAAGCAUCUGCUGUUUAUCUUGGUGCCCAGCGGCACUCUUCAGAAAGUACACUUUACCCCUAGAUCACAAAACUCGCAUUAUGCUGUAUGCUUGCAGCUUGGAUGCACAUGCUGUAUGUUCGCAGCAUGAGUGUAUGUGCUUCAGCCAGAGGAGCAGUGAGUAUAUUGGGCAGUCCAUAAAUACUGUACAAAGUUGACACCUGCAAUAAUUGUCUUCUUGCUGAUUGAUCAACAUCUUUGCCUCCCUUAUAAACUCUAUAUGGUUUUGCAUGUUGUUAGCAGUUUGGGUAAAUGGAAUUAAGUGCACAUCUGUGAGGAGGAAAUUUCUGAGGUGUGUAGCUCAGUUAAUCUACCUUGAAGCUUGGCAGUCUAUAUUAAAACUCAGUGACUCUGCCUUGGUCAGAGUCCAAGCUACUCAGUUAGUCUACCUUGGUGCUUGCUUAAUUAGUCUAUCUUAGAACUUGGUUUACCUUACAAUGGGCAGAGUUUCUUUCACCCUACGCCCCUGUUACCUAGCAGUAAAAUAGGUACCUGGGUGUUAGUCAGCUGUCACGGGCUGCUUCCUGGGGGUGGAGGCCUAGUCGAGGACCGGGCCGCGGGGACACUAAACAGCCCCGAAAUCAUCUCAAGAUAACCUUGAAGAUCAGUUUAUUUUAUCUUCAAUGCUUUGUAAUGAUUCUCUGCAAAUCUAAAGUUUUUCCCUUGUACGUAUAUUGCCACUGUUAUUAUUUUGCAAUACAGUGUAAUAUUUGAUUUUUAUUACAAUUUUUAAUUUCAGGAAAUUAUUUAUAAUCCUUUUGUCACAGUUAAUUUUUAGAUUACAGAACACUACAUUUUCUAAAUUUUUUAUUGGACUCUGUAGUGUAGGAGUUACAGUGCCGUUCUGUAUGUUACAGGCAGGAAAGGAGUUUUUGUAUCUGGGGUUUUGACCACAUUUUGAUAUGUCCCUGUGAUUGUCAUUCUAGAAGUAAUGGAUUUUUAUUACGUAGCUAUUACCCUUAGCAAACUUUUUGACAUAAAGAAAACAAUCCUUAUUUUUGUUAAUUAUCAAAUUUAUUGAUGAAAGUCUGUCAAGAGUUUGUACUCGCCUAAUUAUGCAUACCGGGAUUUUGAGCUUUGGUUCUUUGGCCCCCCACCCCCCCUCCCUGUCUCAAUAGCACAGUUGCUAUCUAAGUAUUCUUGAAUUUCAGAUGGUGUAUGUUUGAGUUUUGUAUUGAAAAUAUUUUAUAACAAAAUCAAUGAAACAAAACUGGAUUUUAUUGGUAAAAUUAGAUGUUUGCACUGAUUAAACUCAUAGGGGGUUUUAGAAUGUAUGGGUCAUGAAGGCAACAUACAACAGCUAAUGUGUAUCCACUGUAUUGGAUAAAGUAGUAAUUUGAGAAAUCGUACUUUACAAAAUUAUGUUCGGUACUCGGGAUAUUAAAUAAUUGAAUUAAUGAGUAAUGUGGAUUGGUUUCAUAGUUACACAUAUCCAUAUUUGUAAGAAAUACAUAUAGUGUAAACAUGCUAUAUUAAAACAAAUGAUAAAAAAUUUCAGUAAUCACUUAUCUAUGUAUGGCAUAAAAUCAAAUGUGCUGUAUGUCAAGGGGGCUGUACAGUUAUCAUAUAUAACUUGGUUUACUUAAUUUGCUUAAGCUCAGUAUACAUUGAUUUUUAAUUUCCUGUAGCACUUAAGACUAUAAGACAUUCGAACAAGCUUUGCCGUGAAUCAGGUUUUGCAUAUUUCUACAGAAUUUAGGUAUGUUAACCUGAGUAUUUAGAAAAGAAUCUAAUAGAAUGUUGUUUUCGUUGGUAUGAAUCUACAGUACAGUAUAUAAAAAAGUUUUGAUUGUGAUAGUUGAUAAAAAAAAAAUUGAGAAAAUAUUUUAAGCCAUACGAGUGGAUCAAACCCGCAUUCCCAAACCCCACAAGCACCUGCAUUGUCGACUGGACCAUGAUGGGCUUCGGUUGAUUUUUUUUUUUAAGCAAUCAUUAUUCAGAUGGGAGUGUGUGUGUGUGUAUGUAGGGUUCAGGGAUGUGGGUCUGACCCAGCUGUAAGGCCGCAAUAUUUUCUUAUAGAUAUAUUAUAUUCCUGUGAUUUAUUAAAUAUGAUUUUUUUUUACCUGAAAAUGUAGUUUAUUAAAACAAACUAUUGGUUUCAUAGUUAAACAUAUCUAUAUUUGUAAGAAAUGUGAAUGUGAGCUGAUGGAAGACAAUGGAUGUGUUAGCAUGUUGAUCAAUUAGUUUACUGUUGUGUUAAUUCUGAUGAAAUGGAGUGAUGUUAUAUCAUGAGUUUCCACUUUUCAUGUAGCUCGUCAACAAGCGGUAUUCUCAUUCUUUUCGCAAAUUUAUAGUUUGUGGUAAGUGGCACUUAUUCACUAUGGCGAUAACAAAAUGAGUUUGAAGACUAUUUGAACCUGUCUCUUAAUAGUUAUUAAGUCCUAAGGAAAGGAUCAUUUGUGUGUCUAGGUGGUAAUGAGAUAGUUGACGUCUUCAAAUUGAGAAAAGUAAACUGUUGGUAUUUUCAACUUGGUAGUAUCAUAACGUUUUGCAUUUUACGAAAGAACUUGUGUGUUUUUUGUUUAGGUCUGUAUUUGCGUUAUACGUUUGCCAUAUUUUAAUGUUGUUUAGUUAUAAUGUUGCUAAUGGAAUUAAAAAUAACUCGUUAACUCCCUUUGGCCCUUAACAUCAUUUAUAUUUGGUUUUAAAAGUCGCGGAUCAUUUUAUAAAUUAAUCUCAUUACGUUGUAUCAUAGGACCAGGUCAUAAAUAUUGCACAGUAAUUUGAUGGUCUAUUCCUUUGAAAGCUAAAAUGAUUCUAAUUGUGUUUUGUAAUGAAAGCAUUUUUAGGUUUAGUGAAGGAAGAUUUUAUUGUCAUUCAUUACUG
rnacentral:lncRNA from 1 species